ACUAUUUUGGCAGAUUAGUGCAAUAGAUUUAGAAUUUAUAUAUGUAAUAAAAAUUACAAAUAGUA
rnacentral:tRNA from 1 species